AUAUGAACCGUUAUAACCGGCGAUACCCGAAUGGGGAAACCCAGUGUGAUUCGUCACACUAUCAUUAACUGAAUCCAUAGGUUAAUGAGGCGAACCGGGGGAACUGAAACAUCUAAGUACCCCGAGGAAAAGAAAUCAACCGAGAUUCCCCCAGUAGCGGCGAGCGAACGGGGAGGAGCCCAGAGCCUGAAUCAGCAUGUGUGUUAGUGGAAGCGUCUGGAAAGGCGCGCGAUACAGGGUGACAGCCCCGUACACAAAAGCGCAUGUGCUGUGAGCUCGAUGAGUAGGGCGGGACACGUGGUAUCCUGUCUGAAUAUGGGGGGACCAUCCUCCAAGGCUAAAUACUCCUGACUGACCGAUAGUGAACCAGUACCGUGAGGGAAAGGCGAAAAGAACCCCGGCGAGGGGAGUGAAAAAGAACCUGAAACCGUGUACGUACAAGCAGUGGGAGC
rnacentral:rRNA from 1 species